UUGUCGAUGUUCAUUGCGUUCCUCGUUAUAUCUGUGUUCCAUUCUGUUUUAUCUAAAUGAGAUAUAGGUUCGUAGCGUACCUCAUUAUAUUUGUAUUUUAUUACAGUGAUUGGCUUAGUCGUCGGUUCUGACAAUCCAAGAGAGCCUGAGGACCGGAACGUGUUUUUAUCCGCCCCGUCGUUAACCCAACCUAAAUCGGCACAAGCACAACCAGCUGCUCACAGACGACUUAAAGCGAUCGCCAAGAAAACAGAAUCUUUUCCGUGCGCAUUACCAAUAUCGAGCGUAUUUAGAUUCUUGAACAGAGGUAUACUUAAACAGAAGAGUAGGCCUAAACCUAAGCAAUACGAGGAACAGAGUGCUAAUCGGCCGUUGGCUAAAUCCAAGUACAUUAAGCGGUCAUCGUCACGCGUUAGCCCAACUCUUCUGAUGACGUCGCCAAAUGCAACGAGUCUGGAGGUAAAUACUGUCCUUAACAUGCUUAUUCAUCCGGUAGAAGUUAAACCGAGUUCGUGCCCAGAAGGUGAUACUUGCCAUGGAGGCAGACCGGAUUCAAUAAACUUAAACCCACCUGGCCGUGUAAACCCACCAAGUACGACUCCCGUAAAUGGCGGCAUCGUCUUCGACCAAGAAUGGCAUGCCGUUUACCUGUCAGUUAUCAUUGCAAUCAUGAUGGUCAACACCUCUUAACCGAGUCGGGUCACUAAAAUUGAAAACCUAUCAGUCAGUGGUGUGUAGGUUUUAGAUUUAAAGCCUAUCAUUGUCACACUUCAGCCUGUUUCAUUGUGCCAUGGUACGUGUCUAUGCAACGCGUUUUACUGGAAGAUUUAAAUGUAAUGGACCACGCGUUUCUUCUGACCCGUGCAGUUUUAGGAAUAAUCAGAGGGAGCCGUGAUACUGAAAUUUAAAAUCUUGUCGGUUAAAGCCUUGUUUCCAUAAAAAUCAUCGUUACAUCGCAUAACAGCGUCUCUCGCACAAUCGAGAAGGCUCCCGAUUCGACCAACCACUCAGCUUGACCAAUAGCUAUCGGCAGUAGCGUGUAGCGAUUUAAAGGAAAUCAGGCUUCUUGUCAGUUAAGAUGAUUAUGAUUCCUGACGGGUCUUUUCGGUUAAAGCGCAGAUGCUGGUUAAGGCGAAUCUCGAUUGCCGGUUAAUACCAUGAUUGUCGGUUAAGAUUAAUUCCGCCGAGUUGAUUGCCGGUUUUGAUGUUUGCCAGUUUAGACGCUUGCCGGUUAAGUGUAUUAAGUUGAUUGCCGGUAGUUGAUGCUGGUUAGGCGUGCCGUUAAGAUGAUUGCUGGAUAAGAUGAUUGUCAACUAAAGAUUAUUUUAGGUUUAUAAGAUGAUUGCCGUUAGUCACGUAACCGAUUAAGAUGCUUUCAGGUUAAGAUGAUUGCCGGUUAAGGUGCUUGUCUCUUAAGAUGAUUUCCGUUAAUAUUUGCCGGUUAAUGUGAUUACCGGUUAGAUUAUUGCCCUUUAACAUGAUUAUUGCCCUUUAACAUGAUUAUUGCCCUUUAACAUGAUUAUUGCCCUUUAACAUGAUUACCAGUAGAUCGCCGGUAAGAUGCUUGUCAGUUAAAAAGUUUGCCGGUCAUGAUGCUUGGCAUCCAAUUUUGGAAAAAUUAAAAUCAUUUUUUACAGUGGUGAAUUACCUACUCGCUCUAUAUAGUGCACGAAAAUAACAUUUAAAAGAAAAUAUGUAGGCCUAGAUACUAUAGAAACCGUACCGAAUUCAGGCCCUAUUAUUUCAUUGGUUGGUAAGUACUGAAACGUUUUGGUGAGCGUGUACCUACGGAAGCAAACAGGGACUGAUCCAGAAUUUUUCAAAGGGGGGGGGGCACAACAGUCUCAGAAUAGAUAAGUGAGUAGCACAUAACAUUGAUUUGCAUUG
rnacentral:lncRNA from 1 species